UACGUAGGGUGCGAGCGUUAAUCGGAAUUACUGGGCGUAAAGUGUGCGCAGGCGGUUGAGCAAGUCGAGUGUGAAAGCCCCGGGCUUAACUUGGGAAUUGCGCUCGAAACUACUUGACUGGAGUGUGGCAGAGGAAGGUGGAAUUCCACGUGUAGCGGUGAAAAUGCGUAGAGAUGUGGAGGAACACCAAUGGCGAAGGCAGCCUUCUGGGCCAACACUGACGCUCAUGCACGAAAGCGUGGGGAGCAAACAGG
rnacentral:rRNA from 1 species